UACGGAGGGGGCUAGCGUUGUUCGGAAUUACUGGGCGUAAAACGCACGUAGGCGGCUUUGUAAGUUAGAGGUGAAAGCCCAGGGCUUAACCCUGGAAUUGCCUUUAAGACUGCAUCGCUAGAAUCGUGGAGAGGUGAGUGGAAUUCCGAGUGUAGAGGUGAAAUUCGUAGAUAUUCGGAAGAACACCAGUGGCGAAGGCGACUCACUGGACACGUAUUGACGCUGAGGUGCGAAAGCGUGGGGAGCAAACAGG
rnacentral:rRNA from 1 species